AGUUAGUAGUAAUAAAUAAAGCAUCCCCGAAACAAGUGAAUAAUGAAUAUCGCAAUAAGUAUCCCGUGCCUUUUUGCUUCAGUUUGUUUUGUAUUAUAUUUUAUUUGUCCUUUUCUUUGCGCUCUCUGUCAAGUUCUGCCAA
rnacentral:ribozyme from 14 species